UACGAAGGGGGCUAGCGUUGCUCGGAAUUACUGGGCGUAAAGCGCACGUAGGCGGAUCCUUAAGUCGGUGGUGAAAUCCUGAAGCUCAACUUCAGAACUGCCUUCGAUACUGGGGACCUUGAGUUCGGGAGAGGUGAGUGGAACUGCGAGUGUAGAGGUGAAAUUCGUAGAUAUUCGGAAGAACACCAGUGGCGAAGGCGGCUCACUGGCCCGGUACUGACGCUGAGGUGCGAAAGCGUGGGGAGCAAACAGGG
rnacentral:rRNA from 1 species